rnacentral:lncRNA from 1 species
GGAUAUUUAGCAAUUGUGACGUUAUCAUGAGCUGAAUCCCUUGACUCAUUUGCUACUUAUGUUGAACAUCCAAUGAAAAUUGCUCAUGCAAUUAGUCAUGAAGUUGGUGGGAUUGGUUCUGCCAUUAAAGGUACGUUUCAUAAGAAGCCUUCUCUGGUUAAAACUGCAUCUCAUGAUCAACCUCAGGGUUCUUCGAUUGCUCGAGUGGCUAGUAUCCCUCAAACGCCUGAAAAACCAGUUUGUAAAAAGUGGUGGAAGCAUGGAAUUGGAGCUCCGGACGUUCCAAAAACAGAAAAUAUUCCUGAAACAACUUCAAUCUACACUUUAGAGGGGCUCCUGGAGUUCCUGGUGGGGCAUUUGGAUAUUGUAAGAAACCCUCUCUCUCUCUCUCUCUCUCUCUCCCCCUUCCCCCCCCCCCCCCCCCCUCUCUUAAGGAAGCUGCUUUUACUUAUCUUUAAUGAAGUUAAAGGUUUUCUUUGGCAUAACUUUCUGGAAAAACAUGAAUACAUGCGUAAAGGCAAUUCUUGGACCUAUGAAUACAUGUGGUACUGCUAAUACAAAUGUUCUAAUAUGGUUGAGCACUGAGUUUAUAUUUUAGGGUAUAAUAUUAAUGAAUAAAACACGUGUUAUAAUAUGCACAGACGGUCACACCAAAAAAUUUCUCACAAAUAAUCUACAAAUAGAUAUGCUACUACUUUCUUGGUUGAAUUAGGAGGAACCACGAUAUAAGCAUACUUGAUUUAUACAACAUAGCAAAAUUUGGGUUAAAUAUUUUAGUCUCAGCAUUGAGAAUUGGUAAUCAUCAUCAACUAACUUUUGGUUUAGUGAUAUUUCCCAUUAUAAUAUGGAAAAAUAUUCUGAGUUUGAAUCAUGUAUGGAGGUAACUUGAAAGGUUUAUUUCAUUUAAAAUUUGACGGUUCACAUCAUUUUCCAACUAUAUUUUUUGAGCCCUAACCCAACUACCUGCACCCAUCCUACUUUUCAUCCAACAAAUUGGUUACAUAAUAGAACAAAUGCGAAUGGAGAAACCAAAAAUAAAUAAACCAUAGAAAGAUAAGAAAAAAAAAAUUGAUUCGUUUAACCGUAAACCCAGGAACAACAAACCCCACAGAAACUUCAAAAAUUCACCGGAAACUUCGAUAGGAAGGGCUGUACAUACAGCUUUCAGCAUACUUCUCCAGAUCCUUCGGUUCAGGGAGGCGAGUAGCCAAACCUACAAAAGCCAAUUGAAGAAUGUUAACUUUUAGGCCUAUUCAGUCACAAGAAAUCUUACAAGAGCAGAGCCACUGGAGAAAGCCUAACCCAGUUCAUAUGAUUUAGCAGCUACUUUAGCAGCAAUAUGUGCCGAAAUCUUUCUAAUGUUUGUAAAUGGAGGGUAUAUGAGUCCCUUGUCAUAGUCUUCCUGGGAUACCUGUGAAGCCAAAGCUUCCGCUGUUCCAAGGAACAAACAUGGCAUAAGAUGUAAUGGCUGAUUAUGGACCAAGGACCUGUUCGUUAGUUAAUUCUUACUAUAAACUAAGAACUUCUGCAUACUGUUUAUAUAAUUUGAAAAAUGGUUAACUAUGCUAGUGCCCCAUCGUUUUGCGUCACACUUUGUCCCCCAUUGUCAAGUUCGUCAAUUACUGUGUCAAAACCGAUGACGUGGCUCCUACAUGGCCCCAAUAAUUUUCUGCCACAUAGGAGGCACAUUAGCGGUUUUAACAUAAUUUUUAAGGGACUUGAUAGUAGGUGGCACAACGAGACGCCAAACACCCAAGGGAUCAAGGUACAUCAUUGUGAUAUUUAUGGGCAAUGUAGUAUCUCAUCAUACUUUCAGGGGCACUAGUAAUUAAUCCUUUCAAAAAAAUCCUUUAAUUUCAUGUCUUUUGUGCACUUACAGGCUGCCAGAAGCAUGUCGUCGUGAACACGGAUGGUACCAGACAUGAUUAAACCCAGACCAAAUCCAGGGAAGAUGUAUGCA